CGGAUCAGCCCGGCCUGGGCAAGAUGGAUUCGAACAGCGCCGGUCCGUUGCAUAAAAUCGCGCCGGUGCAGCGCCCGGGUAUAGAUACAGAACGGGACAGGACGCAAGCCCUGCAGGAGCCAAAAGCCAGUCGAAGUGGAUCUGCGAGACCGGGCAGCUCGGGAGCGAACAGCAGGCAGGGCCCGCAGCAACGGGCGCCCGAAAACCACAGCCUUCCGUCUACCUUCCGCGAGGGUGAAUGCCAUCGCAGAUGGUAGACGCGGUCCGGGUGAAACCGAAGCGAACAGUGGUUGUCUGAAGCCACGCAUGAGUCCCGAAGACUGGAUUUGCACGGGCCGUUCAAGUGAUAGGGCAAGAUGUGAGUGAACAGCCAGAGUAUACCAACUCCUCAGGAGGGCGCUACAGACGGCGUCUAUUGCCAGCGAAAAAGGCUGUCAAGUAACAGCUUCGAGCGAGCCUCAUAGGGGAAAAUGGGCGCCUACCCCAAGCGAACAGCGACGCCGCCCAAAGCCUACAGUGGGGUACCGAAGACUCCAGGUCCCAACGGGGUCAGGAGCCAGCCAAGAAGGAGCCGGGGGCAAGAACGGCAAGACUGAAACGAACAGCAGUGGCAUGCCGAGAAACAAACGCCAGUCGAAGUGGAUAUGCGAGGUCGGGCAGCUCGGGAGCGAACAGCAGGCAGGGCCCGCAGCGACGGGAGCCUGCACACCAGCCUUCCGUCUACCUUCCGCGAGGGUGAAUGCCAUCGCAGAUGGUAGACGCGGUCCGGGUGAAACCGUAGCGAACAGUGGUUGCGUCUGAAGCCACGCGGGGAUUCACAAGACUGUCUUUGCACGGGUUAGUGGAAGUCACGCCUGCCGAUAACAGUAGGCUUAUGUUGGCCACCCUGAAACUUCGAUAUUCUGGUACGAGAGCCAUGCUGUUGCUGUGUCCCGUUGUCCUGUCCAGUUGUUGCGCCUGGUGCUCCAUUCACCGGGCGUGAUGAUAUUCGCCAUCAUCACCUUUCUGAUGGCCGGCACUGUUCCGCUAGUUGGACUGGCCGUACUCUGGAAGCGCUGCUCGGAACGUCCGGAGGAGAAAGAAGUCCUCACAAACACUGAAGAGAGAAUCAGGAAGACGAUGUUUGCCCUCUGGAUACUCAUUGUUUGCCUAACGUGGUCGGAAACCUCGGGCAACACGCGAGCGAGCAGCAGUUGUGUUGGAAACUGCCGGAGGAUGGUGAGAGUAGCGCCCAUGCCGCAGAACCGAGGGAAUGGUCACGUGCCCAACCGGGGUGAGACGGAUGCGAACAGCCCCGUUCUUGAGUGCCCUGAAAAUUGCACCGAGGGACUGCCCAGGUACAGGUACCGAACGGGACGGGACCCAAGUCCUCCAGGAGCCGCCGUUCAAGUGAUAGGGCAAGAUGUAAGCGAACAGCGAGGGUAGACCAACUCCUCAGGAGGGCGCUGCCGACGGUGUCUAUUGCCAGAGAAAAAAGGCUGUCAAGCAAGAGUUUCGAGCGAGUCUCAUUGUGGAAAGUGGGCGCCUAGCCCAAGCGAACAGCGACGCCGCCCAAAGCCUACAGUUGGGUACCGAAGACUCCAGGUCCGAAUCGGAGGAGGAGAUAGCGAAGAAGGGUGGAGCCGAGGGCAGGACCGGCAAGACUGAAACGAACAGCAAUGCCAUGCCUAGAACUGAGCGGAUCAGCCCGGCCUGGGCAAAGUGGAUGCGAACAGCGCCGGUCGGUUCCAUGAAAUCGCGCCGGUGCAGCACCCAGGUUCAGGCACAGAACGGGACAGGACGCAAGCCCUGCAGGAGCCAAAAGCCAGUCGAAGUGGAUCUGAGAGACCGGGCAGCUCGGGAGCGAACAGCUGGCAGGGCCCGCAGCAACCUGGGAGCCUGAAGACCACAGCCUUCCGUCUACCUUCCGCGAGGGUGAAUGCCAUCGCAGAUGGUAGACGCGGUCCGGGUGAAACCGAAGCGAACAGUGGUUGUGUCUGAAGCCACGCGCAGAUACCGAAGAUUGGUUGUGCACGGACAUGUUCAUCAAGGGCGUCGGGAAGGCCGGUACACGUGAGCGAACAGCGCAGAUGCUGGCAGCGCCAGCCAAGUGUCAUUCCCGGAAAGAGGUCAAGGUGUAACUUCCUGCAUGGCUGAGGAAAUUCGCGGCACCUUUGGAGAAUCCAGCGCCUUUCGUGCCGGACAAAUUGAGCAGCAUGUGAACGCCUAGCAUCGCGGAAAGCCUGCCUGUGCGUUGCUGGGCAUGACGAUAGUGCAGCGAAAGACCUUGCGGGCCAACAAGUGUUUCGAUUCACGCGGACCUUCGCUCGCCCUUACGCAGAUCGUCACGUGACGUAGCUUAAUGGAAAUAUAAUAAAACAAAAUUUUAUCGUGGU